rnacentral:rRNA from 1 species
GAUGAACGCUGGCGGCGUGCUUAACACAUGCAAGUCGAACGGAAAGGCCCUGCUUUUGUGGGGGGGCCGAGUGGGGAAAGGGGGUGGAAAACGUGAGUAAACUGCCCUUGACUUUGGGAUAAAUUUAGGAAACUGGGGCUAAUACCGGGUAGGAGCUCCUGCUGCAUGGUGGGGGUUGGAAAGUUUCGGCGGUUGGGGAUGGACUCGCGGCUUAUCAGCUUGUUGGUGGGGUAGUGGCGUACCAAGGCUUUGACGGGUAGCCGGCCUGAGAGGGUGACCGGCCACAUUGGGACUGAGAUACGGCCCAGACUCCUACGGGAGGCAGCAGUGGGGAAUAUUGCACAAUGGGCGGAAGCCUGAUGCAGCAACGCCGCGUGCGGGAUGACGGCCUUCGGGUUGUAAACCGCUUUCGCCUGUGACGAAGCGUGAGUGACGGUAAUGGGUAAAGAAGCACCGGCUAACUACGUG